rnacentral:rRNA from 1 species
AAACUUUCAACAACGGGAUCUCUUGGUUCUGGCAUCGAUGAAGAACGCAGCGAAAUGCGAUACGUAGUGUGAAUUGCAGAAUUCAGUGAAUCAUCGAAUCUUUGAACGCACAUUGCGCCCUUUGGUAUUCCAAAGGGCAUGCCUGUUCGAGCGUCAUUU